rnacentral:rRNA from 1 species
UUUUAUGGAGAGUUUGAUCCUGGCUCAGGAUGAACGCUGGCGGCGUGCCUAAUACAUGCAAGUCGAGCGAACGGACGAGAAGCUUGCUUCUCUGAUGUUAGCGGCGGACGGGUGAGUAACACGUGGAUAACCUACCUAUAAGACUGGGAUAACUUCGGGAAACCGGAGCUAAUACCGGAUAAUAUUUUGAACCGCAUGGUUCAAAAGUGAAAGACGGUCUUGCUGUCACUUAUAGAUGGAUCCGCGCUGCAUUAGCUAGUUGGUAAGGUAACGGCUUACCAAGGCAACGAUGCAUAGCCGACCUGAGAGGGUGAUCGGCCACACUGGAACUGAGACACGGUCCAGACUCCUACGGGAGGCAGCAGUAGGGAAUCUUCCGCAAUGGGCGAAAGCCUGACGGAGCAACGCCGCGUGAGUGAUGAAGGUCUUCGGAUCGUAAAACUCUGUUAUUAGGGAAGAACAUAUGUGUAAGUAACUGUGCACAUCUUGAC